rnacentral:rRNA from 1 species
GUGCCAGCCGCCGCGGUAAUACGGAGGAUGCGAGCGUUAUCCGGAUUCAUUGGGUUUAAAGGGUGCGUAGGCGGAUAUGUAAGUCCGAGGUGAAAGACCGGGGCCCAACCCCGGGGUUGCCUCGGAUACUGUAUAUCUGGAGUGGACGUGCCGCCGGGGGAAUGAGUGGUGUAGCGGUGAAAUGCAUAGAUAUCACUCAGAACACCGAUUGCGAAGGCACCUGGCGAAUGUCUUACUGACGCUGAGGCACGAAAGCGUGGGGAUCGAACAGGAUUAGAUACCCUGGUAGUCCACGCAGUAAACGAUGAUGGCUGUCCGUUCGCUCCUAUGGGAGUGAGUAGACAAGCGAAAGCGCUAAGCCAUCCACCUGGGGAGUACGGCCGCAAGGCUGAAACUCAAAGGAAUUGACGGGGGCCCGCACAAGCGGAGGAACAUGUGGUUUAAUUCGAUGAUACGCGAGGAACCUUACCCGGGCUCGAACGGCAAGUGAAGGGACUAGAGAUAGUUCCGCCCUUCGGGGCACUUGUCGAGGUGCUGCAUGGUUGUCGUCAGCUCGUGCCGUGAGUGUCGGCUCAAGUGCCAUAACGAGCGCAACCCUUGCCUGCAGUUGCCAUCGGGUUGUGCCGGGGACUCUGCAGGGACUGCCACCGCAGGGUGAGAGGAGGGGGGGGAUGACGUCAAAUCAGCACGGCCCUUACGUCCGGGGCGACACACGUGUUACAAUGGCGGCCACAGAGGGAAGCCACCCCGCGAGGGGGCGCGGAUCCCAUAAAAGCCGCCUCAGUUCGGAUCGGAGUCUGCAACCCGACUCCGUGAAGCUGGAUUCGCUAGUAAUCGCGCAUCAGCCAUGGCGCGGUGAAUACGUUCCCGGGCCUUGUACACACCGCCCGU